rnacentral:tRNA from 1 species
UCCCUGGUGGUCUAGUGGUUAAGAAUCUGCCUUGCAAUGCAGGGGACUUGGGUUCAAUCCCUGGUCAGGGAA